CAGCAGCCGCGGUAAUACGGAGGGUCCAAGCGUUAUCCGGAAUCAUUGGGUUUAAAGGGUCCGUAGGCGGGCUAUUAAGUCAGAGGUGAAAGUUUGCAGCUCAACUGUAAAAUUGCCUUUGAUACUGGUAGUCUUGAGUUAUAGUGAAGUGGUUAGAAUAUGUGGUGUAGCGGUGAAAUGCAUAGAUAUCACAUAGAAUACCAAUUGCGAAGGCAGAUCACUAACUAUAUACUGACGCUGAUGGACGAAAGCGUGGGGAGCGAACGGGAUUAGAUACCCCGGUAGUCCACGCCGUAAACGAUGGAUACUAGCUGUUGGAAUUUUUCAGUGGCUAAGCGAAAGUGAUAAGUAUCCCACCUGGGGAGUACGUUCGCAAGAAUGAAACUCAAAGGAAU
rnacentral:rRNA from 1 species